rnacentral:lncRNA from 1 species
UUUUUGGAUGGGCCUAUGUUGGGCUCAUGUUUUUGCGGGUUGGGCCUGAAGGUUAGAAAAAUACAAGAAGGGGUUGAAGUGUGUUGGCUUUUUCAAUCUUUUUCUAAGUGUAUUACACUAGUCAGAGUCUGAUGAGUUCAUAGUAUGAUAAUGGCGGAUAAAAUCAAACACACAAAAACACACGCACAAGAGAGAGCAGACACAAACAAUUAUAUUGGUUCCUCCUACAAUCCAGGAGUAGUAUAAUCUUCUUGCACUUUCGAGGGAUUUUCACUAUAAUCGCACAAGAUUACAAAUGUUUAAGGACACAACCAAGAGACUUCCAAAUAUUUAAGUACGCAAGCAAGAGACUUUCAAUGUUCAACCACACCAGC